rnacentral:rRNA from 1 species
CCUACGGGAGGCAGCAGUGGGGAAUAUUGCACAAUGGGCGAAAGCCUGAUGCAGCAACGCCGCGUGAACGAUGAAGGUCUUCGGAUCGUAAAGUUCUGUUGCAGGGGAAGAUAAUGACGGUACCCUGUGAGGAAGCCCCGGCUAACUACGUGCCAGCAGCCGCGGUAAUACGUAGGGGGCUAGCGUUAUCCGGAUUUACUGGGCGUAAAGGGUGCGUAGGUGGUCCUUCAAGUCGGUGGUUAAAGGCUACGGCUCAACCGUAGUAAGCCGCCGAAACUGGAGGACUUGAGUGCAGGAGAGGAAAGUGGAAUUCCCAGUGUAGCGGUGAAAUGCGUAGAUAUUGGGAGGAACACCAGUAGCGAAGGCGGCUUUCUGGACUGCAACUGACACUGAGGCACGAAAGCGUGGGUAGCAAACAGGAUUA